rnacentral:other from 1 species
CAUUCAGUCAGCAAGCACUGGCCUGGUGGUGGAGCACAGGUUCCCAGUCUGCCUCUUUCUCAUCCAUCAUCUGUUCGGAGUAUAGCCAGUGAACAUGAGCAAUCUACCAGGGGCACUCAUGGGCCAUGGGUGAAGAAUAAAGCAUAUCCCCACGUGAUCCUGACAAAGGACAUGACCAGGGCAGAGGAGAUGGCUUUAACCACCUUAACAGACUAAAGAGGUGACCUUAACUGAGGAAAUG